CAAUAGCGUAUAUUAAAGUUGUUGCAGUUAAAAAGCUCGUAGUUGGAUUUGUGGCGUACGGUGUGUUCCGGGCACUUGUUGUCUGAGUAACCUGCUGCUGCCAUCCUUGGGUGGAACCUGUGUGGCAUUAGGUUGUCGUGCAGGGGAUGCCCAUCAUUUACUGUGAAAAAAUUAGAGUGUUCAAAGCAGGCUUAUGCCGUUGAAUAUAUUAGCAUGGAAUAAUGAGAUAGGACUUUUUUGCUAUUUUGUUGGUUUGCGCAAAGAGGUAAUGAUUAAUAGGGACAGUUGGGGGUAUUCGUAUUCCAUUGUCAGAGGUGAAAUUCUUGGAUUUUUGGAAGACGAACUACUGCGAAAGCAUUUACCAAGGAUGUUUUCAUUAA
rnacentral:rRNA from 1 species